UCCUAAGGUCGAGAGUUCGAU
rnacentral:misc_RNA from 1 species